UACGGGGGGGGGCCCCUCCCUAUUUUUUUCCGUAGGGGAACCUGCGGAAGGAUCCUUAUUGAGCUUACAACUUUAUUUGUUGCCCUUUAGUGGGACCAUUUUGAACGUCGUUUUUAGGAAUGUGGCAUUGGUUAACUCCAAUUAAUAAACGGCUUUGGGAUGGUUUUUUAUAGGCUUACGGAGCAGCUGUAUGAUCGGGGGCUGUGGUGAUAUAUGCUUGACAUUGCUUUUGAAGUGAUGAGAAUUAAAGAGGUCGGUUCAGUGACUCGCCCUUCUAUACAAUCUGUAUUUAACAUUUGCCUUAUUUGACUUAAACGCUUGACGUUUGAAUUAAGACUAGCAAGUCUUAUCGGUGGAUCACUCGGUUCGUAGAUCGAUGAAGAACGGGGCAAAAACCGUUAUCUAGCGUGAAUUGCAGACAUAUUGAGCGCUAAAAUUUUGAACGCAAAUGGCACUAACAGGUUUAUAUCUGUUAGUAUGUUUAAUUGAGGGUCGAUUAAUUCGUUAUUUGCAAUCUGAUGUGAUUGUUCUUUCGAUUAGUUAAUUGUUUUGUUGCUUUAUGCUAGCAACGCAAUUACCUAUUCGGCAUGCUUGUAACGAUAGUCUAAUAAAUGUUUUAACAGAACAUUUGCUAUCUUAUCGAAUCUUUGCAUGGUAUUAGUUUCGUUGGGCGCUUCUCAUGCUGACUGACUUGUACACGGGCAAAUGUGCGCGUAUUUAAACUUCGAAACGUGGAGUCAGUUCGAAACUACUGUUAACUUAACACGUAUCGUUAAGUGACGUCGCCUCGCUUAGAUAAUUGACCUAGUCUGAUCUAAGCUUGCGCUUCCUGUCCG
rnacentral:rRNA from 1 species